UACGAAGGGUGCAAGCGUUGCUCGGAAUUAUUGGGCGUAAAGGGUUGGUAGGUGGUCUUGUUUGUCUAAGGUGAAAUCCCAUGGCUUAACUGUGGAAGUGCCUUAGAAACGGCAAGACUAGAGUCCUAGAGGGGUUUGUGGAAUUCCCGGUGUAGCGGUGAAAUGCGUAGAGAUCGGGAGGAACACCUGUGGCGAAGGCGGCCGACUGGGCCGACCCUGACGCUGAGGCGCGAAGGCGUGGGGAGCGAACGGG
rnacentral:rRNA from 1 species